GCGGUACCGGUUCACGCUCUGCUGGCUCCUGGGGGGACGACCCCCCAGCCCCCCAGCAAGGCGACCCGGCGACC
rnacentral:ncRNA from 1 species